UACGAAGGGGGCUAGCGUUGCUCGGAAUCACUGGGCGUAAAGCGCACGUAGGCGGACUCUUAAGUCGGUGGUGAAAUCCUGGAGCCCAACUCCAGAACUGCCUUUGAUACUGAGGAUCUUGAGUUCGGGAGAGGUGAGUGGAACUGCGAGUGUAGAGGUGAAAUUCGUAGAUAUUCGCAAGAACACCAGUGGCGAAGGCGGCUCACUGGCCCGAUACUGACGCUGAGGCACGAAAGCGUGGGGAGCAAACAGG
rnacentral:rRNA from 1 species